AACGAACGCUGGCGGCAGGCUUAACACAUGCAAGUCGAACGCAUGCCUUCGGGCAUGAGUGGCAGACGGGUGAGUAAAGCGUGGGAACCUACCCCUUGGUACGGGAUAGCUCCGGGAAACUGGAGAUAAUACCGUAUGUUUCUUGAGGGACAAAGAUUCAUCGCCAAGGGAUGGGCCCGCGUCGGAUUAGCUAGUUGGUGGGGUAACGGCCUACCAAGGCGACGAUCCGUAGCUGGUCUAAGAGGAUGAUCAGCCACAUUGGGACUGAGACACGGCCCAAACUCCUACGGGAGGCAGCAGUGUGGAAUAUUGGACAAUGGACGCAAGCCUGAUCCAGCCAUGCCGCGUGAGUGAUGAAGGCCCUAGGGUUGUAAAUCUCUUUCACCGGUGACGAUAAUGACGGUAACCGGUGAAGAAGCCCCGGCUAACUUCGUG
rnacentral:rRNA from 1 species